AUUAAAGUGGCAGAGUUUAAAUGCAAGGAAUUUAAGCUUCCUUUACGGGUUACCCUUUAAUA
rnacentral:tRNA from 1 species